rnacentral:lncRNA from 1 species
AAGCGUCUUUUAGGAGGUCACAUGCCAGGCACCGUGUUAGAGCACCACGUGUUUUGAAAUAUACAAAUAGUGGGAAAUGAAAUCUUUGUUCUGGAUGCAGUUAUAAUUUGGAAAGUGAGGAAAUAAAUUAUAACAAGGGGAAAAAACAGACACAGAGGGAUUGAAACGCAUAACAAUAGAGAUGAAACACGAAGAGUGACAAAUGAAGAUUGAGUGUGCACACCUUCUGGAGGAGCCCUGAUUGAGUAUUUUAAAAUACUACUAAAGUCAUGCUGUGUGACUUCUGAAGCUAGCUCCUAAGAAGUCCUUGCAGCUUCUGCCUGCGACUCUUAGAACACUUGCUUUGAAGGACUCCAGAAGCUGUGUUGAAAGUCUGAGCACUCUGAAACCACCAUGCUGUGAGGAAGCCCAAGCUAACCACAUGGGCAAAAAAGAUGCCCUCUGACUGCCACCAUUUGAGACACUCUAAUUUAGAACUGCCUCAUUGAGCCCAUGAGGCCCUGUGAAUGAUAAUAAUAAAUUGUUUUUAACCACU